ACUCCACCAUAGUACCUUCCACAGUGGAGGCCUCAGACAGUGAGGUGAGAGUGGCAGUGAGCAUUGCUCCAUUGGAGUCAGUGAGAACACCUCGGAAUGCUGGAUUAGCUCGUGUCUCAUCAGUGUUGCUGGUCCUUAAAGAUAUACUGAAUCGGGCACCUUGUGGUGGAGUGACGUCCCAUCGUAUGAGAGUACCAGGCAGAGUACAGGUCCAAAGGCAGCACUGCCACCUGGAGAUGAAUAGAUGAUAAUGUAUAGCAGUGAAUCAAAAGUCCCAGUGUUAUGGGACCACCCACUAUACUGCCGAGGUUCUUCAUUCCUGUCUCCAUGGCAAGUAACUGAAAGUGACACCUCCUCAUAAACCGGACCAGCUGGCUGUGCAGUGGGUCCUACGUUAGCUUGUCCUUCAGUUGCCGGGAAGUACACCGCCUUCUUACGAGAGAAAACAUGCAUCACUUGGAGUCCAGUGAGGAAUCCAAGAAUGGCAGCAACAAAGAAAGUAAUAAUUACCCUGAUAGCAGCAACUACACCAAUGGAUAGGGAGGUGGCAGUAGGACCUGUAAAAUCGAGUUGGUGACACACACAUGAUUGCCUCAGGCUCAGUGCUCCAGACUCCAGCAUUGGUGCAAGUGACGUUGUUGGGUCCAGUCAGUGAGAGUCCAUUGUCAC